GGUUACCAAGCUAUCACCUUCGCAGACCCUCCAAGUGCCCCUAUUUUCCAGAGACAUCCCUGAUUUAAAGAAGCCGUCCCGGUUUCCAAUUUGAUCCCAGAAUGUCCCACUUUUCCUUAGGAGGCCCCUAUUUUCAUGGGAGAAAUGUUGGAAGGUAUGGAGUUAUCUAACCCCCGAGCCAUCUGAGGGCAAUCCUGCAUAGGGUUUUUAAAAAAAUGUUUAAUAGUUUAUUAUGUUUUUAUAUAUGUUAGAAGCUGCCCAGAGUGGCUAGGGCAACCCAGUAAGAUGGGUGGUAUAAAAACAGUAAAAUUAUCAUUAUGGAAUCGGACGUCCCUAUUUUCAUUGGAGAAAUGUUGGAGGGUAUGCCUGUAGCCUAUAAAUUUGAUCCAAAUUGGCUUUAUCUUAGGCAUCAGUUCUGUUUGAUGUGCUGGAGACCAAAAUAGAAGACAGGCCUUCUGAUACCAUAUAUUUAUUAUUUGCCUCCAAGAUCCAGUUAAGGUGACCAGAUGAAAAAGAGGAGAGGGUUGCUACACCUUUAGCAGUUGGUUUGAAAAGACAGAAUUUCAUCAAGUAUAGCUCAUUAUGCAAGCUGCACCUUCUGAAAUUCCCUCUUCUAUACAACUCCAGGGGCAUUCACAUAUUACAUUCAACAAGCAUACAUGUACACAAUAGUUGAGCUGUACAAUGAGUGUAGAGUCUUGUACCUGUGUACACUGUAGCUGAGCUGGAUUAAUCCACAAGUGUGCACUCUUUCACACAAACAUGGAUGGAGACAGUUUGUACCUGUGUUCAGCAUAACAUGGGAAGACAACUUAUUAAAGGUGAAGGAGCCCUGUCCUGAUCUGCAUCUGCUCACCCUCGUACCAGGGGUGAACUAUGCACUCAGGAGUCCAUGUUGUGAAAGAUUCUACUCUCAUGUGAACACUCAGCAGGGACAGGCAGGUUCAAAGGCAACUUCCUUUUUCUUCAGAACAAUACAUAGAAAUCUAUAUGGCAGCUAAGCAAAGCAGCUUAGACAGCCUUCUACUCAAUCCCAACAUGCCUGACCCAGAUAUAAAAUGAAGUAGAGCCAUGCCCAGUGGGACUAAAUCACACCAGGCAAGUAUCAAAGGGGGAAAUGAAAUGUUCCAUUACAGGCUCAUUAAAGAGAUAUUCAACAUGCCACAGUUACAAUACCAAGGGGAGUUUUUGCCUCUCAUUAUAGUCUAUAAGCUUAGGAAACCUGGAAGUGUGUUCAGACUGUCCCAGGUGUUUCUCAGAGGUAACUGUAUACGGAGUGGUACUUUAAUAAAAUGCUUAUAUGCUGCUUUCCUGAUGCUUUCAUUGGUUUACACUGCAACACAAAAGCCCAAAAUAAUUUGAAAAACAAUAUAUUACUAACAUCAGCAACAGCAUAAAAGCAGGGACAGAAAAUACUGAGAACGAUAUUGUCAACUGAAACCUUGACGGAAGAGAUUUGCCUUGAAUUGAAUUUGCAAUCAGCAUAUGCUCCAAAUACAUCUGGGCAUAUGAUAGAAGUGAUCUUGAAGAAUGAACAAUGGUGUACUAAUGACUUUUCUAGUAUAUAUUAAGGUUUGACUUGAUGAAAAAUGGCUUAUUUGAAUGCUAGAGUUGUGGAAGCUAAUUGAUUUUUAAAUCCCUUGAGUGAUCAUUUUGGGUUCCUGGAUAACUCAUAAAACAUUCCCACAUUUGUCCAACUAGCUUUAUAUGGAAUUUCCGCCAGUUAAACUGUAUCAAAAGUCCAGCUGAUCAACAGUUACACACUUACCCAUUUCCUAUUAGGUAUAUUUAUUCCUUUCCAUAAUCUAGCCAACAUAGUUUGCAUGGGGUAACCUGUUAAGUGCUAUUCUCUUCUUGUGGAUAUAGAUAAGACAGGCUUAAGUGCGAGGAAACAAAUAUGGCAUGGAACUGGGGAAGAAAUAUUUCUAGAGUCUAUCCACUAUGAUUCUAUUAUUUUUCCUCUGAUUUGGCUUAUUACCGGAGCCCAAUGUCUCUAACCUUAAAGUCUGAAAUUAAAUAUGCUGAUUUAAUACUUCCUAGUUACCUUAGUUACUGCCUGGAUCACUGUGGUGAAAUCCCCUCUUUUUGCUUUUUAAAGACAGUCAUUUGUUUCGUAACAGACUGGUCUAUUGAUUUGCAAAGGCUUGUAAACUUAAUGACUAGGAAAGCCACUUAUUUUAGUCCCAUUCAAAGAAAUCCCUGGAGCCACUCUAGUCUUGUUUGCAAAUUAGUGAGCCCAAUGCUAUCCCCACUUACUCUAGAUUUACAAGGCUUCCAAAUUUACCAAGUGUAGCUAAACUCUAAAAUUGGUUUGUUGGUCACAUUUUUCCCUGCCACAAGUAUUGAAAAUCUUUUUUUGUACUUUACAGUGUUCCUUCUCAGAACACCUGGGUAACGAUAUGUGUUUUCUGUAACUUUGACACUGACUGGAAAUUAAAGUAAGAUGGACAUAGCAAAAGAAAUACAUAGUAAGUCUGCAAAUAUUCUGUUGCAUUUGCCUAAAACACAGUGGUCAGCAUGCCCAGUGGUCAUAGAUAAUGGGAGCUGUUUUCCAAAACAUUUGGGGGACACCCAGUGGGGGAAGGCUAGUAUAUCGGACCACAGAUAGAUAGCGUAAAUUCUAUGCACGUUAGUUCAGAAGGAAGUCCGACUUACAUAAUUAGGACUGAAGGAAGCUUUAAGCAGAUAUUUAAAUAUGAACCUCAAUGAUCAACAAUAAUCUUGUGUUGAAUAUAGCAGCAGUGGCAAAACAAAAGUAACACAACCUGUGUUUCAUAAUGGAGAGCCUGUAUUAUUAUUAUUAUUAUUAUUAUUAUUAUUCUCUAAAUAUGUGAAAUUACUAGAAUACCAAAGAUUUAAAAAUGGAAAAUGGUGGCAUUUUAAAAAUAAAAAAGUGGCGUAGUUUUAAAUUUACAAAUACAAACAUAAAAUCUGGUGUUGCAAGAUGCAUCCAAAUCUGAAAUUAGGAACGAACAUGGAAUAUUGCCCACAAAAUAUUAUUGAACUUAAUAAUUAUGUUAUAAAGCGCUUGCUAAAAUAAGGAAGAUGCGACAAUCCACUUUCCCAAGCUGUAUGUGGCAAAGAUUUUAAUACCAAUGUCCAGAAUGAGGUCAGUCAAAUGCUCAGUUUUCAGUGGCCUGGUUCACACAUUACAUUAAACCAUAUUUUACUUUAAACUGUAGUUUAUUUUAACUACUUAAAUAGCUCCAAACCUCUGAAAAGGAAGAACAGUUUAUACAUAAAUAAACAUGUUUCAGGGGCGACAAGCAAAGACAAUCAAGUAUAGUCAAAAUUCCACAACUAUCCAAAUAAUUUAUUAACCAAAACAAAUUAUCCCAAUAUCUCUCAGGUGUAAUAUUCUUCCAGGGAAGCCAGGAUGCACUGCAAAAUAGAUUUUUUUAAAAACCCAGACAGUUUUAAAUCCUUAACAGACAUUGAAGAGAAGACAUCUCACAGCAAGAUGGCAAUACAGUUCAUUAGUAUAUAUGUAAAACUAUAUUAGCCCCAAAUUACAGGCAAUCCAAAUGGCAUUGAACAGAAUGUAUUUACACAUUAAAUAACCCCAGUGCAAGCUAUUACAUUCUGCAUGCAGGUAAAACCCAUCAUCAGUUUUAUUUUCAACUUUUAUAACCAGCCUCUGGGGAUUUAUGUCUAGUCCAAGGUUUCUACAAAAAUAAAGUAAUUUCACAAAAGGGUAUUUUUUUUAACUAGUAAAUUAACUUGAAAUAUCCUUUCUCUUAAAUUUACAAUAACUAUAAAUUUCUCUUUGCAUUUUCCUAACAUAGCAUUAUCAAUCAAUGGUUGAACUUCAAGUUAUAUAACUUCAUUGUAUUUUUAAUAAACAAACAAAUCUCUUUUUAAGUAUCCUGCUCACACUUCAACACAGCCGUACUUUAAUUCUGCAAGGCAAUAUUUCCUAUUUUAACAUGCCAACAGUAACUCCUUAAAUAAUUUUAAGCUGCUCAGUGUCAUGCUCGUUAUCUGUAGUUUGUUUCCAUUCUCAUAUGAUACAUGGAAACGAUUGCAUCAUUUCAAUUUUCACACACAAUUGCACUGAUUCUGAAUCAAGGUGUUUCCAGUUUAACAGCUCCCUUUUGGAAGCAUUUGGAUGGCCCUAUUUGGCAUCAAGGGGUUUCCAGGCAAGGAACUAUUUACUUGUCAAUAAUCGACAGCACAGUGUAGCAUUAAUCUGCUCUCACAAUUCAUAAUUUGUGAAUUGCUUCUAGAUCCAGCCAUUUAUGGUGAUAUCGCCUCAAGAGAAAAAGAUCCAUGGUACAUUUCCCUCCCUGAACCCCUGACUGAAUUCAUUCCAAUUAGUAAAAAUGAAAUGUUUUCCUGAACCAUUCUGCAUAUUAUUCAAAGCUGAAGUCAAGAGUAUUCCACAAGCCACUUCUAUAAAACAACUCAAUGAAAUACACCUCCAUAUUUAUGCAGGAUGGAUGAAAAGACGGAAGAAAAUCAGAAGGGAGAGCACACACAUCUUUUGAAUAUAGUAUAUUUCACAAUGAUGUAUUUCUAUAGACAUUUCCUAUCAUUUCUCCACUUACUGAAAAAUAUAAAAUGGCACAACAUAAAAAAAAAAUGCUAUCAGCUAACAGCAGCUGCUGUUCUCCUUUCACUACUCAUUUUCUUUCUGGCAUACAAUCCCAACAGUUACUACUAACAUGUCUUUCCCUAGGAGCAACAUCUGGAAACCUCUAAUAUAAGGAGGCUUCUACUACCUCCAGUUCCUCUGCAAUCAACACCUUUCACCCUCUGAUAUCAAUAAUAUACAAAUCUAUGCUCCCUUUCAUCCAUCCUAAUUAUAUGAUUUAGGCUGCAAUCCUAUACAAACUUCAUUGAGAGGGGGGAAGGGAAUGCAUUGCACACCCAAUCAUCUUUCUGAACCUCAAACCUUCCCUAAACUAUUGCUCAUUCUCUCCUCUGCCUCCACACUCACAUCCAAUGUAUUACUUCUCAUUUAGAGACUAUCUCCUGUGCUGACCAAUCAUAUCUGGACAGUACAACCAAUCACAGUCAUCACUAGCUGGCACCUCUGUAUCCAGGGUUAAAAAAAAAGAAAAGUAAGAUACAUUAUUUUAAACAAGAAAUUGAAAACCUUUCUAGUAUGGGUGGCUCAAGAUGAAUGUCGGACCAUUCAAUUUUCCUUUUUUCCCCUUCUCCCUCCUUUGAUUAUAAAGGGUAAAGGUACCCCUGACCGUUAGGUCCAGUCAUGGACAACUCUGGGGUUGCGGCGCUCAUCUCACUUUACUGGCCGAGGGAGCUUCCGGGUCAUGUGGCCAGCAUGACUAAGCCCCUUCUGGCGAACCAGAGCAGUACACGGAAAUGCCGUUUACCUUCCCGCCAGAGCAGUACCUAUUUACCGUAUUUUUUGCUCUAUAAGACUCACUUUUUCCCUCCUAAAAAGUAAGGGGAAAUGUGUGUGCGUCUUCUGGAGCGAAUGCAGGCUGUGCAGCUAUCCCAGAAGCCAGAACAGCAAGAGGGAUUGCUGCUUUCACUGCACAGCAAUCCCUCUUGCUGUUCUGGCUUCUGAGAUUCAGAAUACUUUUUUAUUUGUUUUCCUCCACCAAAAACUAGGUGUGUCUUGUGGUCUGGUGCGUCUUAUAGAGCAAAAAAUACGGUAACUACUUGCACUUUGACGGGCUUUCAAACUGCUAGGUUGGCAGGAGCAGGAACCGAGCGAUGGGAGCUCACCCCGUAGCAGGGAUUCGAAUCGGCGACCUUCUGAUCAGCAAGCCCUAGGCUCUGUGGUUUAGACCAUAGUGCCACCCGUGUGAUUAUACACUAAGCAAUUGAGAGUCUCUUGGGAAUGCACUGGAAGGAACUGUCUGAAAUAAGUGUGCACAGGAUCACAACUUUACAGCACAAUCCUAAUCAUGUGUACUCAGAAGUAAAUGCUAUUUAAUUCAGUGGGGCUUAGUUCCAGGUAACUGGGGUUAGGAUAGCAGCCUUAGUGAAGCAACUGCACCCUUCAUGUGACCUUGGGUACUGUUAUGCUCACUGGCCCUUCCAAAGCAACAUGCUAGAAACAGUUGACAAAGCAGCCAUGAAAAUACUUGGUAAAUGCUGGAUCUUAUUGAGCCAGUACAGUAGUAGCUGUCCAUAUUUUCUGCUAUUUGUUAACUACAAACAAUGAACAAUUCUUAUGAGCAACUUUUAUUGUCUAUUAUUAUUGCAGCUGUUUUUGUUUUCUGGGCUUUCUUAAAAUAAAAUAAUAAGAGUACCAGCAGAAUUAGGAUGCAAAAGGGUAUACCCUACCUGAGAUGGACCGGUGGUCUAAGUACGUACUUGCUUAAGUAUUUCAUAUUUACUUACUUUUAAUCUCAUUUUCACCGCAUAUUGAAGGUUGUAAAUAGAACAUUAUAUGGCUGAAGAAUUCUGGAUCAAAAUUUGCUUCUUUUUGAGCACAGCCUGAACAUCUGUAAUCUCAAGGCCACCCAUCAUUCUGUUCUUCUUUAAGAGAUGCAUAAACCAUCUCAGCUUUUCCUGAAUUAAUUUGAACAGCCACAAUGGACUGGGGUCCAGUUCAUAAAUUAUUACUCCUUACCUCUCCACCAAUACUACCAGGCAAAAAUUUCCAUUCCAGCACCCCAAACAAGUUGAAUGUGAUUGGGUUUCUCUACAAAACAGAGAAAUUGCAGGAUGAUAUUGAUGACUCAACCUCCAGACAGAAACACCCUGUAUUCACCUGACUGUUCACCAAAUGAAACAUCACUUCUGGACAGCACUUUGGAGAUGCAUAGUAGAGAAAGAAAAAUAUGUAUUUAUUUCUGCCACUGCUGCAGCAGGAUUUUUUAAAAAAGAAUUUAUGCCACCAUGAAAGAACUUUUGGUUGACUCAAGCUUCAGUCAUCUCUCCAUGCCCCCCUCCAUUUUAUUCAUCUAAGCUCACAGAUGUGUAAGUAGCUGCUAGCUCAACAAAAGAAACACCUUGCCUUCGGAGAAAUCAGGAAAUAAGCUAAUUUUGCACCUUCUUACAUGGAAAUAUAUUUGUAUAAAAAGGGGCCCUGAAGAAUUGCAGUUAACAAGAAUGAGAAGGAAUGGAUGUCUGAAAUCAAAAUGAAUACCAUUUGUCAAUCAUUUCCAAAAUCUGUUAUCUUACAUUAUUUUUUGCCACCCAGACUGUAGCCUAGUAAAAAAAAUGGCUCAACUGACUGGAUAUAAUUUUAAGCUGUCAGUUGUCUAAACUACCUGCUCUGCCCCCCCCCCCCAUACACACACACCAGAAAUAGGAUCUUCUACUUUAAAAAAAAAUUGUCCUAGUUUUAAGUUUUGGUUUAUUAACCAUUUCUUUAUAUUAUGUAAAUUUUGUACCUUCACAUACUUCAAUAUGCAAUAUGAUUGCAUGUACUGUACACAAAAGGGACGUUGGUGGCGCUGUGGGUUAAACCACAGAGCCUAGGACUUGCUGAUCAGAAGGUCGGUGGUCUGAAUCCCCGCGACAGGGUGAGCUCCUGUUACUCGGUCCCUGCUCCUGCCAACCUAGCAGUUCGAAAGCACGUCAAAGUGCAAGUAGAUAAAUAGGUACCACUCCAGCGGGAAGGUAAACGGUGUUUCCGUGCACUGCUCUGGUUCGCCAGAAGCAGCUUAGUCAUGCUGGCCACAUGACCCGGAAGUUGUACACCGGCUCCCUCGGCCAAUAAAGCGAGAUGAGCGCCGCAACCCCAGAGUCGGUCACGACUGGACCUAAUGGUCAGGGGUCCAUUUACCUUUUUACUGUACACAAACUUUUUGCAGGGGGGGAGGUGUCCAUUUGUUUCUACAUACUAUGUAAAAGUAUGUACUUUGUGUUUUAUAUCUGUUUUCAAGGAUAUGGUCCUGUCUCCUAUUUAGGGUCAUAACUUUGGAAAUACUGGUGCAUUCCUCACACCACACAUCAAAUUACAGAAAAUUAGUUGGCUGCCAAAUAUGUAAUAGGACCACUUUUGAAAUAGCUAUGUGGGAUUGUUAAAAUGGUACCAUGUCCUUGGUCCAGCAGCACAGAGAGUAUACCAGAAAGGGGGGGUACAAAAUGAAGGGGAAAUAUGCAUUUGCAAGCCAAAGGGUUAGCCCUUUAAGGCUCCAAAGUUCUCCAAAAGGCAUUGAAGCUAGAGGCCGGGGCUUUAAAAGGUGAAGCAGCCCUCAACAUUUUUCAGAGCAAAUUGCUCACUCUGCACUAUCCAUGGUCCUGCAACUUCUGACCUGCCUCCAGCUUCCUAGCCUUGCCAUUUUCUCUGCGAGAGUAAGCAUCAGAUCAGAACACAACAAAAUUGCUAGUCAACCAUGAUGUCUUGCGACUUUUUAAAAACAGUGACAGCUGGCAUUCUUUGGACCUUGAGUAAACCUUUAUACUGUGGAUUGAUGACCUUACUCUGCAAUGUAUAUGUUAUCACAAAGAUGCAGAUUCCCAGAGCUUUUGGAAAUCAAUUUCUGAUGGUUGUACUGUGUGCAUAAAAAGGAGGCGUCAAACACUUUUCAUAGUAUGAAGAGGACGUUAUAGUGUAUUAAGUGUAUUGUGGCAGCUGAUGAUCUGGCAGUUGCCCUUGUCUCAUUGAUCUGAACUAAUACAGAAUUGGUUCCAGCAGAGUAAAAGGCACUUCCAUCAAACCAUUAUCAUUCCAAUUUGGCUAAUUUAUUUCCCGCUAUUUUGUAGACAUCUUGGAGAAGAUGGUCCAUAAACUUCAUUAGCAUCAGAUUAAUUUGAUGGGGACAUGUAGCUCAGGGACAGAAAAUCAAUUUAAUUACGUCCUCUGAACUUGUCCAAAUAUGCCUUCAAAACUGGAACUUCAACAAUGAGCCCCUGGACCCUUGGCAAGAAAGCACAUAUAUUAUUCCUGAUCUGACUCCAAGAACCAUUGAUUUGUCCUGGGGCAAUACUGUAGUGCUUCCAUGUGAUAAAAUGAUAUUUUUCAAACUUAUGCUGUCCUUUGAACUUUUAAUAUCCUAUAAAAUACAUCUUGGGCAUCUUGUUGCAAUAUCAUUUCUGUUCAUCUUUCUUUCAGUUGUACUACAGAUGUGUGGGGUGCCUCCAACUAUUACUGGGUGCCUCCAAAUUGUCAUUAUAUUGUGAGAGGGAUUCAAUUACAUAUCAGAAAUUUAGCUUUGAACAAUUGAAGUGGAAUAAAGCACUCUGUCACCCUAGCACAGAAAAUCCACUUUACAAAUAACACGAACUUUUUAUAGUUAGGAAAGUGACAGGGAAAUGCUCUGAAAAGUGUGGGAUGAAUGCAUGAUUAAUGUGAAGAUCCCAAAAGCCAAACAGGAUAAAUGCUCAUUGCCAUACAACCAGCCUGUAAACUAUUUGGAACAAAUGCUCAAUAAAGGCUAGAUAUAGUCUAACCACCAUGCAACCUUUGUGCAAAGAAAUCAAGACGAAUUAAGCCAAAGCACAGGUCAUCUGGACAAACCUACUGUCAAUCUUAGCAAAAGUAUUUUGCUAAAAAAUUAUGUGAUGUGGGGAGAAACUCCCACAUUUGCUUUUGUUUCAGGCAAUAAUUCAGUAGCCACUUGUCAGACUCAGUUCCUGCCCAGCUGUAGGCAGGGACAGACAAAUAUGUAGGGAAAGCAAAAAGAAUGCUUAUACUAGGUUUAGCCCAGUAUUAUAUACACUGACAAGCAGCAGUGCUCCAUAGUCUCAGGCAGAGGUGUCUUUCCUGUCAAUUCAGUCUUUCUAACUGGAUAUUCUAGUGACUGAACCUGGAAUCCACUAGAUGCAAAGCAUGUGUUGUUGCCAACACAAAGAACAUGAAUAGAAUCCUCUAAUUGCUCAAAUAAGUGAGCCAUCUUAACCAGGAAGCUUUUAUAGGAAUCAAGAGCACCACCUGACCCACUCUGAUCUAUUGUUAUAAAAAGGCUUGUCUCCCUACAGUUUCAUCCUUUGGACAAAGCUGGGACAUGGUACACCUGACUGAGAUUCAGAAACUGAUAAAGGCUCAGGUCCAGACAAAACUCUACUGUGAGUUGCCAUAAUGUUUAAGGGUUGUUUCUGUGAACCCAGUUUAGCUAGGCAAUUGGAUCACUAAAAGGUGACCCAAAGAUGUAACACUCUAUUACAAAGGAAUUCUAUAUUAAGUGAAUAAAUUUAUUUGCAUGUCUCUCUCAAUAUUUCUGCUUUUCGCUGUCAUUUGGUGUUUUAUUAGAAUACACACUGAAUCUACUGGAAUGAAUCACCUUCUACCAACUAAUGUGUGUUCUUAAAUAUGCAUUAGGUUUGGCUCUACUACUAAGACUGUGUUGACACUGCUGAAGUUGAGGAACUAUGACUCACUCCAUAACAAAGACAACCUACUUCAUCAUAACUGGAAUGCUGAAUACCUUAAGAGAGAGAAGGAUUAGGAUAUUUCUUUUGGAAUUUGCCCUUGAGAAGCAUCAAUGUGAAUCCACUUUAUAACAACCUUCCUUCCUAAUCAGGCAUGAACAUAUAUUCUAUUGCUGAGUAAAUAAACAUCAGUGGUAACAAAC